CCUAUUUUCAGUUGGUUUUGGCAGCGCGAGGACUAGGGUAAUGAUUAAUAGGGAUAGUUGGGGGCAUUAAUAUUUAAUUGUCAGAGGUGAAAUUCUUGGAUUUAUGAAAGAUUAACUUCUGCGAAAGCAUCUGCCAAGGAUGUUUUCAUUAAUCAAGAACGAAAGUUAGGGGAUCGAAGACGAUCAGAUACCGUCGUAGUCUUAACCAUAAACGAUGCCGACCAGCGAUUAGGAGACGUUGAAUACAAAACACCACCAUCGGUUGCGGUCGUCCUUGGCGUCGGUUUCGGCCGGCGCGGGGACGGUUUAGCCCGGUGGCACCGGUGAAUGACUCCCUAGCAGCUUGUGAGAA
rnacentral:rRNA from 1 species